ACGGAGGAUGGGGAUUACCAGGUAAAACUACGCAACCUGGUACGUUUCCUUACCGAUGGGGACAAGGCCAAGAUCUCUCUGAGAUUCCGUGGUCGUGAGAUGGCCCACCAGGAGCUGGGCAUGGAGCUGUUGAAGCGGGUUGAAGCUGACCUCGCCGAAUACGGCACCGUUGAGCAGCAUCCGAAGAUGGAAGGACGCCAGCUUAUGAUGGUCAUCGCCCCCAAGAAAAAGAAGUAAUCUCCCGGGCACGGCAGGCCUGAUGAUUAUUGUGUAAUUUUUAUCGAAUGCGGAGUUCAACAUGCCAAAAAUGAAA
rnacentral:misc_RNA from 1 species